ACCACCUACGUUAAUUAUUUGAUAUACGAUAUCGAUCGUUGACGUAUACCUACGUUUCGUUAUAAUCUGCUGCGGCUGCUGCGCCGUCGGAAUAUGUAUAAGAAUGACCCCGAUUCUCAAGGCACUCUGUUCGAUUGCAUAAUUAGUGAGUUUUUCGCGUAUCCGAGGGAUAAGAAGCGGAGAGGCCUAAACCACAAAAAAAGUGAGAAUUUCUCGCCGGUAUAUCAUCACAGUGCAUGUCCGUGAGAAUUCAUCAGUCCUUCAGAUCGUUGACUCUGUUUUUUCAGGGAUACGUUAGGAAAAGGGUUGGUUACAACGGCGCUUUUGAUUCCUCGUCCUGGGAAUAGGUGCACCUCAGACGGCUACGGUUGCAGUCGAGUUUAGAGAUUUGAAAAGUUGAAUUGAAUCGAACGUGGAGAAGGUUAUACGGUAGAUACGUACCUAGAUGUAUACGACAUUUAUUAUGGGUAGGUAGAUGCAUGCAAGUACAUAUUAGGGCGGAUAUAUCGAAGAGGAGAACGGAAAUGGGAAAAUGCAAAGUCGAAGGAAAGACGUAGUGCCUCGUGGUUCACCGGUAGGUACGUACGUACGUACCUACGUAUACGGAUACUUGUAAUAUAUAAUUAUGUGCAAUGCGCUCGAGGACUGCGUGUAUAAUAUCAAAGUAUAUAUGUACCAAGUAAUAAAGAAUAAGUUCGGAGCGGAUAUCGUUGAUGAUUCCUCGCGAGCGUGAUAUACAUAUAAUAUACGUCUAUGUGUAAGUGAAGACUCGGCGAUAUAAAGACACGUUCUUACCGUACGGUUAAGAACUGUUGGUAUGACCAAGUGCGAGUGGUCGAUGACCCAGGUAACGGACCGACAGGUGAGUUAGCCGCCAUUUUGAAUCGCGUUGGCGAAUGAACCGACGCGACCUACGUUUCUAACGAUGAACAUAAACGCGGAGACUUCGUAUUUCCAGUCAUAUCGUAUGAUAUUAUUUCAGAUGUAUGUCGUACUACGCCCUGUGAGAAAACCUCCGACGUACGUACAUAACGCUAUACACGCGCGAUUAUAUCGGCUGGAACGUGGAGUCGUCGAUCAGCCCACGUGAGGAACUAAUUACGCCAAUCUAAUUAACGCGAUCAAUUAAACGCCUUCGGUGAGCGAUUUUUUUUUUUUUUGUUCUUGUUUGUGAGUAUAACAGCUCCCUUGUGUAUAAUAUAAGGUUGUAAAAUAACUCUGCAUAUUUUACUGUGCAUGCACAUGUUAUACGUGCAUAUAUAUAUAUUUUGUUAUACAUUCUCAUAACUUUAGGACAACAUGCCCGCGGACGUAGGUAUAUAUACAUACGAUUAUACUUUACAGGUAUACCGUGACCCAUAUAUUUUGUACCGGUACAUCACCGGUAUGCAGGAAUUAUGUAGUACAUACGUGUAUAAACAUCCGAACGAAGAUCACUCUUCGGCAUAUAUGUCAGGAUUAUCGGAACGAUAUAGAUACGUCAUUUCUAGAGCCAACGAUUUAACAUCAAGAAACAAAGACGAAGAAUUAUCAUCGGGAUGACAUUUCAUGGACAAUAUCUCACAAUCGAAGCAUGCAACGUCGAACUGCAUGUGAUAUCAGCAUUACAAGACGGAGCUGCAGUAGAACAUUAUUUCAAUCGGAUGUGUCGUUAUCAAAUGUGAACUUCCGCGCCUUUUUACAUACGUCGCGAUGUUCUCGAUCUCUGAUAUAACUAUAUGCAUUCAAUCGUACAAUUAACUCGGAAUUUUUGGAUAUACUUAGCAUGAACCACUGCGUAUUGUUUCCUCGUUCAAUCAAGGCCUAGGAAAACGACCAUACUUUAGAAACCUGCAUCGAGCAUCAAUUUUUGGGAUGAUACUUGAGAUCGGAGAAUACGGACACCGGAAUGUCGACAUGGCCGCCCUGAUGAUACCCACCGUCGUGCAACAACCCCUCGGCCAACAUCAUCCGUUAUAUCAAAUUCCCAGACCUACACGGAAUAUAGCCACGAUAUCUUAUCUGUACAGCGUAUCCACCCUUCUCUGAUUCCGCGUAAAUAUCGUUAGUUAACGGUAUGGCGUUGGAUUCGGGAGCCCGCGCUACCAAUCGUCAGAGCCAAAUCUCCGUUUAGCUCAUUGAGCACGUACCGCUGCCCGAUCACGGAAUGCACGAAGAAGUAUUACAGACACAGGCAUCUAUAAGGUACUCGCCUACACCCCGACACCCCCGUUGAUCGUAAAUUAUUGUUCAAGAAAUCGGUCCGCCCACGCGUUGCCGACAUUACCGCGCGAUAUAUUGGAUAUACAUAUACCUAUACAUCCAAUAAGAAAAAGGUCCAAUCAUAAUUUGCAGCGCGCGUACACCUAUAUCAAAAAAAAACGUACGAAACUCAUCUGUACUCAUUUGUGCAGCGUUCUGUAAAAAAUCACCAAAUGCCCAAAUGCGAGUUAUCGCGAUAAACUUGCAAUUUUUCAGCGGUUGUACCGUUGAAUUUUCGAUAACUUUUGUUCAUUCGAUGGUUCAAGGAAUUACCGCACUGGAUAAUUUUCGUUAUUAUUAUUCACAUCAUCAUUAUUGUUACGAGUUAUCCGAGUAGGUAGAGAAAUAUUUCUGCCGCAAGGUCGUAACGCGUCAGCCUCCGCCGCCGGUAAAAACAGCUAUAAAUGCUGAGGUGAAAGUAUACCUCGUUAUAUCUGUCCUGAAAUCGACUUGGUCCGAACCCUACCUCCGUUCGAUUCCAUAUAGACUUGCGUAUUAACUACAAAAGAGAAUAUAAAAUUCGCCAUUACGUAUGAAACUGCCCAUUAUAUACACCUCGAGACUAUUCAAGGAUCUUUCGCUAAAAUUCCUACCGCAAUAUCAUCAUUUUACAUCCGAUAUAUAUUAUACACCAUAUACCCCUAGCUGAAUUUCAAAUUCAUAAUUUAGCGAAGUGAAACUUAUAGGAUGUAAUUAUUAGCUUGCGAUCGCCUAUCCAGUUACUCCAAAUUACUGGAGCAGGCGGACAAAGGAAAAAGGAAACUUUCGUUCUUUGUUCCACGUAUACUGUCGUGAGAUUUUUCACGAUAAACUUUUCAACCAAUAUAUAUAAUAAUAACAAUAAUAAUGAUCGAGUAGAGUCCGUUCACCGCGCGCUUCAUUGGCAUUCAAAUCUUCGGAGCGCGUUUAUGUAAAUUUACUUCACGCCGUUAUGUUCGUAUAAGAAUAGCAAAAUUAGAAGGAUUUUCAGAGAAAAAAAAAAAAAAUGAAGCAGAAAAGAAUACACGGAUUAAAAAAAAAAAAAAGAAGAGAAAAUCCUCAAAGUGCAGCAGACGGAGGAAGAAGAAGCAGCCACAUCGCGGAAGUUAUACUAUGUGGUGAGAACAAACUGAAACUUGGAAGCCCUGGAUCAUCGGCUUUCGGAUGGAAAUAAAGAUAAUAUGAGUGUAUAUACAGGGUGUUAAUAAAUAAUCGUGCCGAACUCGAGGGGGCGAUAAAGUGCACUUAUUGUUAAACAAGUAAUCUGAGAUGAGCAACUCUUGAAUUGUAAACUUGAAAAUUAACGAGUAAUAUCCAAAACAAAUGGACCACAACUUGAAUCCUUCGUCUCCUGAAUUGUGUACCAUUUCGAGUAGGGAACGCGGGUUGGGUUGCCGAUGACCAGGCGUUGAUCACGCUCUUUACCUGCGACCUUCGAUGCCCUGAACGCGACGUUUCCGGACAUGAUUCGCUCAUCUCAGAUUACUUGUUCAAGUGCACUUCAUCAACCCCUUGAGUUUGGCACAAUUAUUUAUCAACACCCUAUAAAAUUCAACCUUGAAUAUCCGAUUCGGGGAUAACCCGAUGGAGUAGAGAUGACUUUUGUGGUACCAAAAGUCGCAGAAUUGCAUCGGAGUCUCGGUGUUCUGAAUUGAGAACCACAGCGCGCGAGACGUAAGAAUGAUCGGACGACAGGAUUUACACGCAUGCUGAAUGAGAAAGGAAAGUUGGGAGGCAACAUUUUUUCAAGGACUACGAGUACUAACGGGGAAUUCGCGGGUAAAGGUCAAAGUGACAUCAUGUGUAAUUGCAUCGGAAAGCCGGAAUGCCGCUCGUAUGCUAGAACUAGCAUGGAACUGUGGUGAGCUGGGAGGCACGUUCAGCAUAAACAUCUCAUUCUUAUUUAGCACGUAACGAAUGGAACCGAAGAGAUAUGAGAAUUAAAAACCUUACCACGUUGGUUUCGGAGCUGAAUCUCGUGAGGAGCGCAUAGUGCCAGCCGGCGACCGGUGACGCACUUUCUCAGGUGUUUAAAGAGAAUACGAGGCUCAAGGUGUGGAGCCUGCUUGAGGGGGAGUGUUCACGCCACCAUGGGCAAAUGCGAAAUCAACCUUACGAAGGGACGACGAAGCGCAAAACGUAGACACUGGGGACGCCCGGGGAACGACGAACACAGCCUCGCA